AAGACCAAGAUGAAAAUUUUUUACAAAAAAACUAUGGAUCAGUAAUAUUCCAGCCAAAAUUAAGAUUUACAUUUGGAAAAUUUCCUGGAAUUUCAUUCCUAAUCUAGCUAUUUUAUCCACAAAAAGAAUGGCGAUGGAGACUGCGUACCUAAGAUGUGUAGGGGCUACUGAAAAUGUUGAUCACCUUUUGCGAGGCUGUCCUAUUACACGAGAAGUCUAGGUAAGUUUAAAUCUUGAUUGGGUAUUAACAGGAAUAAAUAUGAAUUGCUAGGAAUGGCUUAGCUGGGUGUUUAAAAGCUAUACUGGGUCGCAAUGUUGUUUAUUCUGCUGCUCCUUGUGGGAGAUCUGGACUAACAGAAAUAAGUGGUUAUUUGAGGGGAAGAGAAAUAGGGGUUGUGAUAUUACUGCAUGGGUCUUAAGGUAUGCUAAGAAAAUAGACGAGUGUGAGACUAGUAAAUUGACCAAGGAAACCGUGACUAUGGAAUGGUGCCCUCGAAUAGGUCCGAUAUUAAAUUGAAUUUUGACACGGCAUUUGACUAGGCACAGGCUAAAUCGGCUUCAGGGUUAGUUGCAAGAAAUGCUUCUAGAGAGAUUCUCGCCUCUAAAACUGUGGUACACAGGGCUAUUGCUUCUCCUUUCGCAGUAGAGGCACAUGCGUGUCUCCAAAUAGUUUUAUUGGGGAAAUAAAAGGGAUUUACAUUAGAUCGAAGGGGAUUCAGCUUCAGUUAUAAAGAGAAGUAAGUCAGAUCUGGUAGAUAGAUCGAUGAUAAGGGCUUUAAUAAGGAACUUACAAUGUUAAAAACUAUUCUUCCAUCAGAUAUUAUUUAAACACAUUCCUAGAUCAGCAAAUAUAAUGGCUCAUGAACUAGCCAGAGAAGCGAUGAGAAAUGGGUCACGGACUUACCUUCUCGGAGGACUGCUUGAGCAAAAUGCAACAGAAGAUGGAUCGUGCAGAAGGAGAGAACCAGAUUGAAGAUUGACUGAUGAAGGCGUUUGGGUUUUGGGAAGAGAUAAAUGAAGUAAAUGAUGGUCUACUGGUUUUUGGAAACUACUUCUUGGGGACUGGAACCGUCAAUAAUAAUAAUGAUGACAUUUAUUGGGUGCCAGCUGUGAAUCAGACUGUGGUGUUUUCUUUAUUUUGUUUUGUUUUACUUCUGUUUUUGUUUUUUUUGGUAGGCUUAGUUCAAAGCCCGA
rnacentral:lncRNA from 1 species